rnacentral:tRNA from 1 species
UGGGGUGUCGCCAAGCGGUAAGGCACGGGACUUUGACUCCCGCACUCGUAGGUUCGAUCCCUGCCACCCCAGCCA